UAAGAAGAAGGCUGCAAAAACACACCCGGAGAAGUUAGCGAAAUGCUUUUCUGGAGAAGAUAUUGUCUCUCAGAGGCAUCUGUAUUUUUGAAGUGGCCUGCAUCACAGAAAUUCCCCAUGGACUUGCCAUUGUUGAAGCAGAAUUUGGCAGCUCAGCUCUGCUCUCUCCGUUGAUCCCAGCACAACCCCACAACCCCCUCAAGAGAUUCAGUGCAGUUGCCACCACAUUGACUCUAUUUUGACACGCAGACAUCCAGGCUUGUAAUUCAGUGAAGGAAGAUUCCUCCCAGGGU